rnacentral:rRNA from 1 species
GACGAACGCUGGCGGCGUGCUUAACACAUGCAAGUCGAACGGUGAAGCACCUUCCUUUUGGUGGGUGUGGAUGAGUGGCGCACGGGUGAGUAACACGUGAGUAACCUGCCCCCUUCUUCUGGAUAACCGCAUGAAAGUGUGGCUAAUACGGGAUAUUCUGGGUCUGUCGCAUGGCGGGCCUGGGAAAGAUAUUGUUUCGGUGGGGGAUGGGCUCGCGGUCUAUCAGCUUGUUGGUGGGGUGAUGGCCUACCAAGGCGGGGACGGGGAGCCGGCCUGAGAGGGUGGACGGUCAAGCUGGGAAUGGGACACGGCCCCGACUCCGACGGGAGGCAGCAGUGGGGAAUAUGGCACAAUGGGCGCAAGCCUGAUGCAGCGACGCCGCGUGAGGGAUGGAGGCCUUCGGGUUGUAAACCUCUUUCGCCAGUGAAGCAGGCCUGUCCCUUUUGUGGGUGGGUUGACGGUAGCUGGAUAAGAAGCGCCGGCUAACUACGUG